CUGGAAUUUUGGACAAAUAUCGUUCUACAAACAGCUUGACCCAGAACAUGUCACGUGUUGCCCUUCCUUGUUUCCCCCUUUUAUGUACUCCUCCACCUUGGCUGGUGUCCUUGGAGACUGGAGUUGGCCGGCCUGUCACACCUAGGCCUUAUUAACUAAUGGGCUACCUGAGCUCCUUAAAAAUGGAGCUUCCAGUUCGCUCUCGGUCUGCUGCUGGAGGGAGAACACCAACGGGGAACCGCUGCUGCUGUCACCGCCACUACAGCAUCUACUGUCACUUGGAUCACAUCUCGUCCAGCCACCGAUGACCGGCAGCCAGGGGGAGACCAAACAGGGUGGAGAGAAAUGUUGACAGUUUUUAAUAUUGUCAGAAGGUGGGUGUAGCUGGUGCAUGAAGUCAGGCGCAGGAGAGCAGAAACGAGGCUUCUGGUGGCAAAACUGAUUACAUCUUAAUCUCGCUUCUUGGAGGGAGACAAUGGCUCUGUAAGUACAGCUGCUUGGCAGAAAGAGACAGAUACAUUAAAAACAAAUUAAAAUAAGAAAAUCUUCCCAGCGACAGUAUCUCUCACACCUGUCAGCCUGAAAAACAGGCCUAUUAAACAAUGAAUUGGAAAACGAACACACUGUCUUGGUUAUGCAAGUUGGGGGCUCUCUGUACAGUACGUUUACCUAAGGAUCAGAUCCAAUUUUUGCUUAAAAUGACAUUACCAAAUCUAACUGCCUGUAGCUCAGGAUCUGAAGCAAGGAUAUGCAAAUUCUUGAUACAUUACAUUUACAUUACAUUUAAGUCAUUUAGCAGACGCUCUUAUCCAGAGCGACUUACAAAUUGGUGCAUUCACCUUAUGAUAUCCAGUGGAACAACGACUUUACAAUAGUGCAUCUAAAUCUUUU
rnacentral:lncRNA from 1 species